UAAAAAUAUCUGCGUAUAAAUUAAAUUAAUCUUUGCGGCUUACUUCCGUUGCCUAGCGACAGGCGAACCGACGAAUGACGAGCCAGAUGUUUGCGUCAUUCGUCAGACACACCGCCGAAGCGAGAGAGACCGGCCGCGCAUCUGAGCGUUGGACUGUUCGGGCACCCGUCUGCCUGUUUUUCUAUUUUGGGAUUUAGCCUGGUUUGGUGGCCUCCCGGCGAAUUAUUGCGUUCAUUCGGAACUUCGAUAUGGCAGCACUGCACUAUUGGACUACGGCAAGCUCACGUCGUCUGGUGGAUCUUCCUGCGGAAACUACUGCUGCUUACCUGGUGCCACAACGUUGGAUGAAUGCACAAAAAGCCCGCGACGAGCAUUUACAAAGAAUAAAAUAAACGUAAAUUUUUCCUCA